AACGAACGCUGGCGGCAGGCCUAACACAUGCAAGUCGAGCGAGGACUUCGGUUCUAGCGGCGGACGGGUGAGUAACGCGUGGGAAUGUGCCCUUCUCUACGGAAUAGCCCUGGGUAACUGGGAGUAAUACCGUAUACGCCCUAUUGGGGAAAGAUUUAUCGGAGAAGGAUCAGCCCGCGUUGGAUUAGGUAGUUGGUGGGGUAAUGGCCUACCAAGCCGACGAUCCAUAGCUGGUUUGAGAGGAUGAUCAGCCACACUGGGACUGAGACACGGCCCAGACUCCUACGGGAGGCAGCAGUGGGGAAUCUUAGACAAUGGGGGCAACCCUGAUCUAGCCAUGCCGCGUGAGUGAUGAAGGCCUUAGGGUUGUAAAGCUCUUUCAGCUGGGAAGAUAAUGACGGUACCAGCAGAAGAAGCCCCGGCUAACUCCGUG
rnacentral:rRNA from 1 species